rnacentral:rRNA from 1 species
GAUGAACGCUGGCGGCGUGCCUAAUACAUGCAAGUCGAGCGAACGGACGAGAAGCUUGCUUCUCUGAUGUUAGCGGCGGACGGGUGAGUAACACGUGGAUAACCUACCUAUAAGACUGGGAUAACUUCGGGAAACCGGAGCUAAUACCGGAUGAUAUUUUGAACCGCAUGGUUCAAAAGUGAAAGACGGUCUUGCUGUCACUUAUAGAUGGAUCCGCGCUGCAUUAGCUAGUUGGUAAGGUAACGGCUUACCAAGGCAACGAUGCAUAGCCGACCUGAGAGGGUGAUCGGCCACACUGGAACUGAGACACGGUCCAGACUCCUACGGGAGGCAGCAGAAGGGAAUCUUCCGCAAUGGGCGAAAGCCUGACGGAGCAACGCCGCGUGAGUGAUGAAGGUCUUCGGAUCGUAAAACUCUGUUAUUAGGGAAGAACAUAUGUGUAAGUAACUGUGCACAUCUUGACGGUACCUAAUCAGAAAGCCACGGCUAACUACGUG